GUUCCUAUGGUCUAGUGGUUAUGACGCUUCGUUGUGGUCUAGAAGCUCCGAAGCAGCCCGUGUUCGAUUCACGGUGGGGACA